rnacentral:rRNA from 1 species
AAUGAACGCUGGCGGCGUGCCUAAUACAUGCAAGUCGAGCGAACCACUUCGGUGGUGAGCGGCGAACGGGUGAGUAACACGUAGGUGAUCUGCCCAUCAGACGGGGACAACGAUUGGAAACGAUCGCUAAUACCGGAUAGGACGAAAGUUUAAAGGUGCUUCUGGCACCGCUGAUGGAUGAGCCUGCGGCGCAUUAGCUAGUUGGUAGGGUAAAGGCCUACCAAGGCGACGAUGCGUAGCCGACCUGAGAGGGUGAACGGCCACACUGGGACUGAGACACGGCCCAGACUCCUACGGGAGGCAGCAGUAGGGAAUCUUCGGCAAUGGGCGAAAGCCUGACCGAGCAACGCCGCGUGAAUGAUGAAGGCCUUCGGGUUGUAAAAUUCUGUUAUAAGGGAAGAACGACUUUAGUAGGAAAUGGCUAGAGUGUGACGGUACCUUAUGAGAAGGCCACGGCUAACUACGUGCCAGCCGCCGCCGUAACAC